rnacentral:rRNA from 1 species
GACGAACGCUGGCGGCGUGCUUAACACAUGCAAGUCGAACGGAAAGGCCCUGCUUUUGUGGGGUGCUCGAGUGGCGAACGGGUGAGUAACACGUGAGUAACCUGCCCUUGACUUUGGGAUAACUUCAGGAAACUGGGGCUAAUACCGGAUAGGAGCUCCUGCUGCAUGGUGGGGGUUGGAAAGUUUCGGCGGUUGGGGAUGGACUAGCGGCUUAUCAGCUUGUUGGUGGGGUAGUGGCUUACCAAGGCUUUGACGGGUAGCCGGCCUGAGAGGGUGACCGGCCACAUUGGGACUGAGAUACGGCCCAGACUCCUACGGGAGGCAGCAGUGGGGAAUAUUGCACAAUGGGCGGAAGCCUGAUGCAGCAACGCCGCGUGCGGGAUGACGGCCUUCGGGUUGUAAACCGCUUUCGCCUGUGACGAAGCGUGAGUGACGGUAAUGGGUAAAGAAGCACCGGCUAACUACGUA